UACCUGCUGGAGGGCCUGGUGCGGUGACCGUGGGGGAGCGGCAGUCGAGGGAGGACAACGUGUGGCGUUGCUACAAUGCCCAACUGCAGCACAGCUUCAACCAGCUGGCCCAGGAGUUCAAGGGGGUCACGCUGGUUGAAUCCUACACACAGCCCAGGAAGUACACAGGCACAACCAAAGGAGCAAGGCGAUGAUAAGGGACACCAUCGCCAUGUGCCGCGUACACAGCCACGAGGGCAAGACGCUCGCCGGGGUCCGCAUCAACCGCUGGGGUGCCGUCAUGAGGGACUACAAACAGAUCCAGGACAACGUGGUCAACUGACCUGCCCUCAUGGCGAGCACCCGGAUCCAGCUGUUUGAUGUUAAUCAGCGGACCCUGUCGAUGUGAAAAUGUCAGGUGAUCAGGUGGUGCCCUCUGGCUCCCAGUCUAUGGAAGAGCUGGGCAACACGGUGGUGGGGUUUGGUGCAUAUUCACACCACACCUUUAGGUCCCUGUACAACGUGCAGGACGAAGAGAGUCGAAUGUAAGUAGUAGUGUGUGUGUGUGUGUGUUUGUUGAUUUAAUGUGUGUUUGUGUGUUUUUCCCCCUUUGCUCUUUUACAGCUAUCUGGAUUGGGUACGACAGCUGACGGUGGUAGCUGAGUCCAGGAUAGGCCGUCUGAGGAGCUAGGUGCCUCCUCCUCGGAUCCACCACCUGACGCUGUAGUGCCUGAGUGCUGAGGUCAACUCUCCCCGCACGUACAGGGGCGCCCCACCAGCCGUGGCCUUCGUCUACUAAAUUCUGCUCCGACUGAAUUUCGUUAAAGUUCACAGAUGCACUCCCUAAGACAAUGUCUUUCCACCCAAUGUUCCGCUUUGAGC